GCUGGCGGCGUCUUAACACAUGCAAGUCNAACGAGGAUCUUCAGUGUAGCAAUACAUANGCGGUCCUAGUGGCGCACGGGUGAGUAACACGUGGGUGACCUGCCCUGGAGCUCGGGAUACCCCCUCGAAAGGGGGGCUAAUACCGGAUACGUUCCUCGGUCGAAAGACUGGGGAGGAAAGGUGGCGCAAGCUACCGCUCUUGGAGGGGCUCGCGGCCUAUCAGCUAGUUGGCGGGGUAACGGCCCACCAAGGCUAUGACGGGUAGCUGGUCUGAGAGGACGACCAGCCACACGGGGACUGAGACACGGCCCCGACUCCUACGGGAGGCAGCAGUGGGGAAUUUUCCGCAAUGGGCGAAAGCCUGACGGAGUGACGCCGCGUGUGGGACGAAGGCCUUCGGGUCGUAAACCACUGUCAGUGGGAAAGAAGGGUGUCGGUGUUAAUACCACCGGCAUUUGACGGUACCUGCAGAGGAAGCCCCGGCCAACUCUGUGCCAGCAGCCGCGGUAAGACAGAGGGGGCAAGCGUUGCUCGGAAUUACUGGGCGUAAAGGGCGCGUAGGCGGGAUGGCAAGUCGGUCGUGAAAUCC
rnacentral:rRNA from 1 species